AACGCUGGCGGCGUGCUUAACACAUGCAAGUCGAACGGAAAGGCCCCUGCUUGCAGGGGUACUCGAGUGGCGAACGGGUGAGUAACACGUGGGUGAUCUGCCUUGUACUCUGGGAUAAGCUUGGGAAACUGGGUCUAAUACCGGAUAGGAACUGCCUUUAGUGUGGUGGUUGGAAAGUUUUUUCGGUGCAAGAUGAGCUCGCGGCCUAUCAGCUUGUUGGUGGGGUAAUGGCCUACCAAGGCGUCGACGGGUAGCCGGCCUGAGAGGGUGUACGGCCACAUUGGGACUGAGAUACGGCCCAGACUCCU
rnacentral:rRNA from 1 species